AUUGAACGCUGGCGGCAGGCUUAACACAUGCAAGUCGAGCGGAGCGAGGGUGCUUGCACCUUAGCUUAGCGGCGGACGGGUGAGUAAUGCUUAGGAAUCUGCCUAUUAGUGGGGGACAACAUUCCGAAAGGGAUGCUAAUACCGCAUACGCCCUACGGGGGAAAGCAGGGGAUCACUUGUGACCUUGCGCUAAUAGAUGAGCCUAAGUCGGAUUAGCUAGUUGGUGGGGUAAAGGCCUACCAAGGCGACGAUCUGUAGCGGGUCUGAGAGGAUGAUCCGCCACACUGGGACUGAGACACGGCCCAGACUCCUACGGGAGGCAGCAGUGGGGAAUAUUGGACAAUGGGGGGAACCCUGAUCCAGCCAUGCCGCGUGUGUGAAGAAGGCCUUUUGGUUGUAAAGCACUUUAAGCGAGGAGGAGGCGCUCUAGGAUAAUACCCUAGAUGCGUGGACGUACUCGCAGAAUAAGCCC
rnacentral:rRNA from 1 species